UUGGGCUUAAAAGUCCUUUGAGCCAUGGAAUCCCUUUUGUCUUGAUUGGAGUGGAAUUUUGUGUGUAGGGGUGAAAUCGGUAGAUCUACGAAGGAACGCCAAAAGCGAAGGCAGCUCUCUGGGUCCCGACCGACGCUGGGGUGCGAAAGCAUGGGGAGCGAACAGGAUUAGAUACCUAGUACUCCAUGCAGUAAACGAUGAGUGUUCGCCCUCGGUCUACGCGGAAGGGCCCAGCUAACGCGUGAAACACUCCGCC
rnacentral:ncRNA from 1 species